UACAGAGGUGGCAAGCGGUGUUCGGAAUUACUGGGCGUAAAGGGCGCGUAGGCGGUUCGUUAAGUCCUGUGUGAAAUCCCCCGGCUCAACUGGGGAACUGCACAGGAAACUAGCGGGCUUGAGUUCGGGAGAGGGAAGCGGAAUUCCGGGUGUAGCGGUGAAAUGCGUAGAUAUCCGGAGGAACACCGGUGGCGAAGGCGGCUUCCUGGACCGACACUGACGCUGAGGCGCGAAAGCUAGGGGAGCAAACGGG
rnacentral:rRNA from 1 species